GUGGGAGGGGGCUUGCUCCCGAUCGCGGUGGUUCAGUCACAGUCUCUGUCACUGAACCACCGCGAUCGGGAGCAAGCCCCCUCCCAC
rnacentral:misc_RNA from 1 species